rnacentral:rRNA from 2 species
GGGUUGUGAGGUUAAGCGACUAAGCGUACACGGUGGAUGCCCUGGCAGUCAGAGGCGAUGAAGGACGUGCUAAUCUGCGAUAAGCGUCGGUAAGGUGAUAUGAACCAUUAUAACCGGCGAUUUCCGAAUGGGGAAACCCAGUGUGAUUCGUCACACUAUCAUUAACUGAAUCCAUAGGUUAAUGAGGCGAACCGGGGGAACUGAAACAUCUAAGUACCCCGAGGAAAAGAAAUCAACCGAGAUUCCCCCAGUAGCGGCGAGCGAACGGGGAGCAGCCCAGAGCCUGAAUCAGUGUGUGUGUUAGUGGAAGCGUCUGGAAAGGCGUGCGAUACAGGGUGACAGCCCCGUACACAAAAAUGCACAUAUUGUGAGCUCGAUGAGUAGGGCGGGACACGUGGUAUCCUGUCUGAAUAUGGGGGGACCAUCCUCCAAGGCUAAAUACUCCUGACUGACCGAUAGUGAACCAGUACCGUGAGGGAAAGGCGAAAA